GCAAACGGGAUUAGAUACCCUGGUAGUCCACGCCGUAAACGAUGUCGACUUGGAGGUUGUUCCCUUGAGGAGUGGCUUCCGGAGCUAACGCGUUAAGUCGACCGCCUGGGGAGUACGGCCGCAAGGUUAAAACUCAAAUGAAUUGACGGGGGCCCGCACAAGCGGUGGAGCAUGUGGUUUAAUUCGAUGCAACGCGAAGAACCUUACCUACUCUUGACAUCCAGAGAACUUAGCAGAGAUGCUUUGGUGCCUUCGGGAACUCUGAGACAGGUGCUGCAUGGCUGUCGUCAGCUCGUGUUGUGAAAUGUUGGGUUAAGUCCCGCAACGAGCGCGACCCUUAUCCUUUGUUGCCAGCGGUUAGGCCGGGAACUCAAAGGAGACUGCCAGUGAUAAACUGGAGGAAGGUGGGGAUGACGUCAAGUCAUCAUGGCCCUUACGAGUAGGGCUACACACGUGCUACAAUGGCGCAUACAAAGAGAAGCGACCUCGCGAGAGCAAGCGGACCUCAUAAAGUGCGUCGUAGUCCGGAUUGGAGUCUGCAACUCGACUCCAUGAAGUCGGAAUCGCUAAUAAUCGUAGAUCAGAAUGCUACGGUGAAUACGUUCCCGGGCCUUGUACACACCGCCCGUCACACCAUGGGAGUGGGUUGCAAAAGAAGUAGGUAGCUUAACCUUCGGGAGGGCGCUUACCACUUUGUGAUUCAUGACUG
rnacentral:rRNA from 1 species